rnacentral:lncRNA from 1 species
UUCAUAUUUUUUCAAUAUCAUGUUAUUGAGGAACAAAUGUACAGUAAUUGUUUGGGCUUAGCUAGAAAAAUAAUUUAAUUAUUCUGGUGUUGGGCCCGUGCUCAGCACGGGCCUUACCAAUCUAGUAUAGAUAGAUGUGGAUGAGAUGGUCUAUUAUCAAUAGGUUUCUGUACAGAAAAAAAUGGUUCUAUUUUUUAAAAUUAUUUUUAUGUAAAAUUUAUUAUGCAGAGGUUUUAUUUUCUUCAAAUAAAUUGGCGGU